AGAGUUUGAUCAUGGCUCAGGAUGAACGCUAGCUACAGGCUUAACACAUGCAAGUCGAGGGGCAGCGGGAUUGAAGCUUGCUUCAAUCGCCGGCGACCGGCGCACGGGUGAGUAACGCGUAUCAACCUUCCGCAUACUCGGGAAUAGCCUUUCGAAAGAAAGAUUAAUGCCCGAUGGUAUCCUAAAUGCACAUGCGAGUAGGAUUAAAGAUUCAUCGGUAUGCGAUGGGGAUGCGUUCCAUUAGAUAGUUGGCGGGGUAACGGCCCACCAAGUCGACGAUGGAUAGGGGUUCUGAGAGGAAGGUCCCCCACAUUGGAACUGAGACACGGUCCAAACUCCUACGGGAGGCAGCAGUGAGGAAUAUUGGUCAAUGGGCGAGAGCCUGAACCAGCCAAGUAGCGUGAAGGAUGAAGGUCCUACGGAUUGUAAACUUCUUUUAUACGGGGAUAAAGUGACUUACGUGUAGGUCAUUGCAGGUACCGUAUGAAUAAGCAUCGGCUAACUCCGUGCCAGCAGCCGCGGUAAUACGGAGGAUGCGAGCGUUAUCCGGAUUUAUUGGGUUUAAAGGGAGCGUAGACGGGUCGUUAAGUCAGCUGUGAAAGUUUGGGGCUCAACCUUAAAAUUGCAGUUGAUACUGGCGUCCUUGAGUACGGUUGAGGCAGGCGGAAUUCGUGGUGUAGCGGUGAAAUGCAUAGAUAUCACGAAGAACCCCGAUUGCGAAGGCAGCCUGCUAAGCCGCCACUGACGUUGAUGCUCGAAAGUGUGGGUAUCAAACAGGAUUAGAUACCCUGGUAGUCCACGCCGUAAACGAUGAAUGCUAGGUGUUGGGGAGCAAAGCUCUUCGGUGCCGCCGCAAACGCAUUAAGCAUUCCACCUGGGGAGUACGUUCGCAAGAAUGAAACUCAAAGGAAUUGACGGGGACCCGCACAAGCGGUGGAGCAUGUGGUUUAAUUCGAAGCAACGCGAAGAACCUUACCAGGUCUUGACAUCCCGAUGACCGGCCCGUAACGGGGCCUUCUCUUCGGAGCAUUGGAGACAGGUGGUGCAUGGUUGUCGUCAGCUCGUGUCGUGAGAUGUUGGGUUAAGUCCCGCAACGAGCGCAACCCUUAUCCUCAGUAGCCAGCAGGUAAAGCUGGGCACUCUGUGGAGACUGCCAGGGAUAACCUGGAGGAAGGUGGGGAUGACGUCAAAUCAUCAUGCCCCUUAUGAUCUGGGCUACACACGUGCUACAAUGGCGUAAACAAAGGGAGGCAAAGCCGCGAGGUGGAGCAAAUCCCAAAAAUAACGUCUCAGUUCGGACUGCAGUCUGCAACUCGACUGCACGAAGCUGGAAUCGCUAGUAAUCGCGAAUCAGAAUGUCGCGGUGAAUACGUUCCCGGGUCUUGUACACACCGCCCGUCACACCAUGGGAGUCAGUAACGCCCGAAGUCAGUGACCCAACCGUAAGGAGGGAGCUGCCGAAGGUGGGACCGAUAACUGGGGUGAAGUCGUAACAAGGUA
rnacentral:rRNA from 1 species